ensembl:lncRNA
UAAAAUUUAAGUAUUUGAAAAUAAUAGACAAGUUCUGUCCUUCUGUGUAUAAAGCUGUUACAGCAGGAAAUAUCCAAGUUUUGGCAUUCAGUGACACAGGGAGAAGAGGAAGAAUAGUUUUCUGUGAGCUAAGAUUUUCACAGUGUCCCAGAAUAAUUUUCCAAAAUAGGAAUUAAAAAGAAAGAAGUGCAUUUAAAAUAUUUGCAUUUGAGUACCAGGAGGAACUUCGCUUUGUGGGAAAAAACUCUAUUUGGAUGACCGAAGAAGAAACUUGUUGAAACAUAAAAUAUGACUGGAGGUUUGAAGAAGAAUAAGAGCCCCAGUUAUUUUCUUAAAAAGAAAACAAACAAAAAAGACAACAACACAAGAAAAAUGAUGCUGCUGCGUGCUGGUACUUGUAACAUUAGGUUAAGAGAGUGGUUUUUGCUUCCAUUCCAAGUGGAUCACCACUUUAUCAUACAAUCUGACCUUUUCCUUCAUGUCUG